GAAUAAAAACACUUGUGUUGAAGGGUGACGGUAAGGUGCUCAGGAUCUACACUCAGUACAGUUUUGGUUGCAUUCUUGAAUUUUGGACAAAAUGUUUUUAAUAUCCCAAUAUUUUGCAUCGUUUGCUAUCAUUUUUGUUAAGUGUUGAAGUGUAAUCGAUUGAAUGACUGAGUGUGUACUGUACUGAGAGGUCAUGUUACUGUCCUUUCCAGCCCGUGUGUGUGUGUGUGUUUUCAUCCUGGAUCUAAAAAAGGAAUCCAACCAAAAAUGCUCAGACACAAGCGAAGGAGGAGCUUAGAGAUUCAUGUUGAUUUUAGAUCUGCUGGUGAGAAAAGCUCUUCUACUCAUACAGGGUCUGUUCCUGAUCUGAUGAACGAGCUCAAUCACACCAGGGAGACGUGCAAAGAGGUUCAACAGAACACGGAGGAUGCUAGAAAGGAGACGAUGGACAAGGGGGCAGUCAGCUUUACAGUGUAGUGAAGUGUUUUACUAUAGUAUGGGUAUGUAGAGGAGCAGGAUUGUGUGUGACAGCAACAAGAGGGUAAGUGGUGAAAGCAGUAGUACCUGGACAAAGAAAGGCAGCUACAGUAGUAUCAAAGUUGAGUUGUUAAAAAAAAAAAAAACAGGAAAAUUUUAAGAUAAACCCUGAAAGCUUUUUUAACACUCAGACUUAGACAGAUACAGUCAUACUAACGUGAAACACAUCUUUAUGAGAAAAGGCCAAGAAGUUAAGUAUGAAAGCCUCCAAUCCCAGAGCAGAUCAGUGAUGGACAAAUCGGGGAGGGAGUUGGGCUACAAUUCGAUAUCCAUUGACACCUCAAAAUCCAGGUGUGAUAACAUAAUGACACAGUAUAGAGAAAAAACUAAACACACCAACUGAGAAGUGAUCUGCAGCUGAAACCAGGUUACAUGGCAACUCUCAAGGACCAGCAUUUACGCCUUGCAAUAGUUUUACCCCCUCACCCCUUCCCUGCUACAGAGGAAGCCCCAGUAGCACAGACACUGUACAUUAAGGCACCCAGUAUUAUCCAAAUAUGAAGAUACAGCAGGAUAAUCCUGAUAUUAUCAUUACCAACAAUAACACUAAACAUUUAUCCAUGUCAACGUAAGAGUGAAAUAUCAUGUUUUGAGUGGUAAGUAUGGAAGUGACCCACAUGAGUGAUCAGAGCUGUAUGCCAAAGGUGAGUAAAAAAACUAAACACUUUUUAGCCCCACAUUCUGUUGCAUGGUUGUCAUACUGAAAAUAAUGAGUAUUUUGGAAUUACCAAGAAACACCUGCAGUAAAGUUUUGAAAAUGGGCCUUGACUAGUAGUGCCACCUAUUGUGUCACAGCCCAGUGAAAAUGAAAUCACAUGCCUCACUCACACAUUCAUAUUUCAGUGUGAAAAGUGACUGCUAAGGACACAUUUUGAACUAAUAUUCAUUUCUUUGAGUCGUUCAGCUUCUUACUCAUUAACCGAACCCUACACAAAAAGUUCCCUCACUAUAUGCUGCUGAAACAAUGGAAUUCUCUACCUUUGCUUUGAACUGAAAUGUCGUAAGAGCAUGUGAUUGAAACAAGGGAUUUUUCAUUUAGAUGUGAGAUGGUAGCGCACAUUUCAAUUUUGUCAUGUGUUUCUUGGUAAUUCCAAUAUGCUCAUUAAAGAAUCCAGUUAUAUGGCCCAUGGGCUGUGAAAGGGUGUAUCAGUUAAUAUUUGGAACACCAAAUAGUCACUGCAGUCAAAUUUAUACUUGAAGAUCAGUCACUACUGUCACCCAGCAUACUCUCCAUGAAGUGCUUUGCAUAACUCUCUGAUUGCAUGUUAUUUUCUUCCCAUGUCCAACAUGCCUGGGAUGACCUCCGCUGUACUGAGACCUUCAAAUCCUCAUCAUUUGACCACCAUGAACCACUGAAGAUGGAGGAUGUCCAGAUGACGAGUCCACUAGAGAACUACAGCUUUUUUUCUGAACUGUAUAGUGUUAGCACUCCCAGGAGGGGCAGGCAGCCAGAUGACCUUGGUUCCCCCAGAGGUUUUUUUUUCUUCCCCUCCUGUUCUGGGCAGAAGUUUUGUUUCCUCUGUUGCCUUGUGGCUUUUAUUCUCUGCACACAUUCAUAACUGUGAAAAUGUAUGAUUACUGAGCCCAGAAAUCUGUUCAUAAAUGCAUUUGUUUGUAGUUCCAAAGUCAUUUUUGCUACUAUGCCACAAUUAGUAAUACAGAUAUAACUGAGAUAUGCAGUUUAGGUUCUGGAAAAAUCUCAGAUGGAGCUAUUAUCUAACAUAGCUCAGUUAGUCAGUUUCCUUCCAAUUGUCCUGGUAAGGGUCGUGACUCUUUAUAUUUAAAUAUCCUUAUUAAUUUUGAGCUGCAUUAAAAUUAAGUAAUCC